GAGAGAUUUAUCUGAAGAGGAGAGACAAUGUUUUCCCUAAAGCUCUUUGUGAUGUUGGCAGCUGUACACAGUGUUUACUCACAGGUUGUGCUCACACAGUCUGAACAGUCAGUAGUUGUGUCUCCAGGUGCUUCCUACAAACUGACCUGUGCCUGCAGUGGGUUUACUGUUAG